GAUGAACGCUGGCGGCGUGCCUAAUACAUGCAAGUCGAGCGAACGGACGAGAAGCUUGCUUCUCUGAUGUUAGCGGCGGACGGGUGAGUAACACGUGGAUAACCUACCUAUAAGACUGGGAUAACUUCGGGAAACCGUAGCUAAUACCGGAUAAUAUUUUGAACCGCAUGGUUCAAAAGUGAAAGACGGUCUUGCUGUCACUUAUAGAUGGAUCCGCGCUGCAUUAGCUAGUUGGUAAGGUAACGGCUUACCAAGGCAACGAUGCAUAGCCGACCUGAGAGGGUGAUCGGCCGCACUGGAGCUGAGACACGGUCCAGACUCCUACGGGAGGCAGCAGUAGGGAAUCUUCCGCAAUGGGCGAAAGCCUGACGGAGCAACGCCGCGUGAGUGAUGAAGGUCUUCGGAUCGUAAAACUCUGUUAUUAGGGAAGAACAUAUGUGUAAGUAACUGUGCACAUCUUGACGGUACCUAAUCAGAAAGCCACGGCUAACUACGUG
rnacentral:rRNA from 1 species